CAAUUACAGCCUCUGAAUUACAGAAAACAAACUGGUGGACUACGUAUGUGCAGGGCUGCUUGCAUGUGAUUUGACUGCAGAGAGCACAGACAACACGGGCUGAAUGGGGUGAAUAUGAUGUGGACGACCCCCGGUCGAGAAGGUACCCAUGGAGUCAGACGCCGCAGUCGACUCUCAGUCGCGACCCCCUGACCCGUGCCUCUCCCCUCGAUCCACCUCAGUCCGAUGAAUCAGGUUUCUGAGGAAAGAACAAGAAACUGAAACCCGGCUCAAAGCCAUAUCUCUUUCAGGGCUCUCUCCGGACUUUCCUCCCAGCCCAGAACAAUGGCGGGCCCAGGAGCCCAGCUUCCCCACAGGCCCCGGCGAGAGGAGGCCGGGGGCUGGGUACUGAGGGAGCCGCUCAGCAUGCUGAAAUAUGGAGGCGACAGAUAAGGUGGCAGCGGCACAGAGAGGCCCUCUCCCAUGGGCCCAAGGGGAAAUUUGCAGUUAUUAAGAGGAAGAUGAGAGAGAUUAAAUGGCUUUUGUACUCAUUUUCACAGGCUUUUAUUUUUUUUAUUAUUUGGGCUGCCUUCAUCUGAGAGAUGAAAGAAGUGGUAAAUGACUUUUUUUUCCUUCUUUUUUGUGCGUCAUUCAGCAACACACUGGCUUUGAGAGACAAUUCUUCAUUACUGAGAGUUGUCACACAUCAUGAAACACUUGUUAGUGCGCUAUUGUUUUAAAAGGUGCAGAAGUAAUAGAAUUACGGUAAUCUACAGCUAAUCUCAAAUGUAACAUGGGUUAGGAAUGUGUUUGAGGAAAUUACAAUAUGUUACAUACAUGUAGAUUUAUUAAGAUGAUGUAAAUCUUAAAUCUGUUUGAGUUCCAUUGAAACUCUGUCACAGAAGG